rnacentral:tRNA from 1 species
GGACGCAUAGCUCAGCUGGUUAGAGCACUACGUUGACAUCGUAGGGGUCGUUGGUUCGAGUCCAAUUGCGUCCA